rnacentral:rRNA from 1 species
GUGCAGCAGGCGAGAAACCUUCGCAAUGCAGGAAACUGCGACGAGGGAACUCCAAGUGCCUACGCUCAGCGUAGGCUGUUCUCAAGCCUAGAAAGCUUGAGGAGUAAGGGCUGGGUAAGACGGGUGCCAUCUGUGGUAGCAGUCAAUAGGAUUCGAUUUGUUACUGCAAGGCAUAAGCCGGCCGCGGUAAUACCCGCAGCCCAAGUGGUGGCCGCUUUUAUUGGGCCUAAAGCGUCCGUAGCCGGCCCGGUAAAUGGCCUGGGUAAAUCGUGGAGCCCAACUUCACGAAUUCCGGGUAGACUGCCGAGCUCGGGACCGG